UACGAGGGGGGCUAGCGUUGUUCGGAAUUACUGGGCGUAAAGCGCGCGCAGGCGGCUAUCCAAGUCAGUGGUGAAAGCCCGGAGCUCAACUCCGGAACUGCCAUUGAAACUGUUUAGCUUGAGGAUGAGAGAGGUGAGUGGAAUUCCCAGUGUAGAGGUGAAAUUCGUAGAUAUUGGGAAGAACACCGGUGGCGAAGGCGGCUCACUGGCCCGGUACUGACGCUGAGGUGCGAAAGCGUGGGGAGCAAACAGG
rnacentral:rRNA from 1 species